rnacentral:rRNA from 1 species
UAAAAAUGUAAAAUUUUAACUAAAAAAUUAAUAGUUAUGAUCUUUAAAUUUAAAAAAUUUGGCGGUAUUUUAGUCUAUUCAGAGGAACCUGUUCUGUAAUUGAUAAUCCACGAUUAGAAAUACUUAAAUUUAAAAGUUUGUAUAUCGUUGUUUAAAUAAUUUUAUAAGAAAAAUAAUUAUUAAGAUAUUUAAUUAAAUAAAUAAUCAAAUCAAGGUGCAGUUUAUAUUUAAGAAGAAAUGGGUUACAAUAAAAAUUAUUUAUAUGAAUUAUAUUAUUAAAUUAAUAUAUAAAAGAGGAUUUGAUAGUAAAUAUAUAUAUAUAUAUAUAUUGAUUAAAGCUCUAUAAUAUGU